rnacentral:rRNA from 1 species
AUGACGGUACCGGUAGAAGAAGCCCCGGCUAACUUCGUGCCAGCAGCCGCGGUAAUACGAAGGGGGCUAGCGUUGUUCGGAAUUACUGGGCGUAAAGGGCGCGUAGGCGGUGCUUUAAGUCAGGUGUGAAAUCCCGGGGCUCAACUCGGAAACUGCCUUCGAUACUGCAGAGCUUGAGUGCGGGAGAGGUGAGUGGAAUUGCCGGUGUAGAGGUGAAAUGCGUAGAUAUUCGGAGGAACACCUGUGGCGAAGGCGGCUCACUGGACCGGUACUGACGCUGAGGCGCGAAAGCGUGGGGAGCAAACAGGAUUAGAUACCCUGGUAGUCCUAGCCCUAAACGAUGAAUGCUUGGCGU